UACGAAGGGGGCUAGCGUUGUUCGGAAUCACUGGGCGUAAAGCGCACGUAGGCGGAUCUUUAAGUCAGGGGUGAAAUCCCGAGGCUCAACCUCGGAACUGCCUUUGAUACUGGGGAUCUCGAGUCCGGGAGAGGUGAGUGGAACUGCGAGUGUAGAGGUGAAAUUCGUAGAUAUCUGGAGGAACACCGGUGGCGAAGGCGGCAUCCUGGACCGGUAUUGACGCUGAGGCGCGAAAGCCAGGGGAGCAAACGGG
rnacentral:rRNA from 1 species